UGGUCAUAAAAGAGUAGCAGACCUAAAACAAAAACAAAAUAACAGAAAAAGUAAAAUUAGAAAAUAGGGAUUAAAAGUGAAAUAAAUACAAUGAUCUAAUCCUAAGCUGUAUUUCCCGACAAUAGCGCCAAAAUUUAAUGUUGCUUAAAUAACACCUCCCAAGAAAGUAUAAUAUAACCACUGUAAGAUACAGAACCCAACGAAGAUUGGGACCGAUCCCGCGAGAAAAAUGAUUAGGAUUUACGUCAAAGUAAGUAUUUGUGCCUUUUAUUCUACUAAUUUUGGAUGGGAGAUUUUAAUGAGAUAGCUAAAUAGUUUAUUAGUAAUGAUUAUCAAGUUAUCUGAGUUUACGAUUAAUAAGUGAACCACUAGGAUUGUAUUCCUUGUGAUUUCACAACUCUAUAGGUUUUCCAUACUCAUGAUCUAUCAAAGUCCGUAGCAUGCAAAAUGGAUAAAUUAAGUUUACAUAAAGUGAAGGCUGAUAUCUCAAAGACUCCAUUGAUGAUUCUGUUUUCCUAAUGUCUACCUCUCUAGGUUCAAGCAAGUAAGGAAUACAGGUAAGUUCUAACGCGCACACCUAUUAAAGACAAAUCAAAGUGAAAUGAAUUGCAUAACAAUACAUGCAUUCAUAAUGUUUUAGAAUCACUAUGUAUUUAAACACUAUUUCAUUAUUCCAUCAUGGUUCAAUAUAUUUAAACACUAUUUCAUUAUUCCAUCAUGGUUCACACAAUCGCAGUUGUGGGUUUAGAUAUUCAUAAUUGCAAGACCACAAUAACAAUUCAAGGAAGAAAUUAUAACUAUGUACUUACAAAAAGAAUAGAAUAAACCAAAAAUCUCAACUAUGAUUUAUCUCCAAAUGAAUAUGUUUAUCAAGCCUCCAAAUUUUGCCUAUAAACUCAUAAGAAGUAAUAUAACAUGUGAAAAUAAAUAAAAUCUAGCAAGAGUAUUUAUAGAAAAAACACAAUCUAUCUAAAAUAGAAUAUUAUUAUAGGUUUGCCAGCUUAUAGAAUGUCCUUUUCUACUCAUUGUUGGAUGAUAAAUCUCUAGUAAAAUGCUCAGGACGAGCCCAUACUUUCAAGAAAUAGCUUGUUAUAGGUGCUCAAUUGUUCAUACUUGGUUUUUAUUCUUUAUAGGAUCUCCUCUCAUGAUCCUUGGGAUGAGCUCAUGACAUCCAUAACGGGUCAUGGAAUGUUGUCAUUCUGAACACUUCAACUUCACAUCCUCUGAUUCUUUCCACAAUAGCCCAGAAUGACCCAUCCUUAGGUUUAACAGUUCAUGCCAAGGUUCGUUUGAUGUACUUAGGUUCUAUAAUAUCAAUUUUUUGAAUUUUAAUCUCUCAAAACCUAUUUUCCUAGCAAAUUCAAUAAAACAUAUCAUAUCCAUAUAAAAGUACCUUAGAACUAGAAUAUUUUCCAUAUUUUAAGCAUCAAAAGUUUUAUAAAUCCAUGAUACAUUAUCACGACCACGCCACAGCCUGGCCACGACGGGCGCCCCAAACCACAAGAUCCCUUAGCCUACUAUUAUAAGCAUAAUUCACAUGUAAAGAGAAAGAUUUGAGGAAACUCAAGAAAAAUCUUGCAACAAUCUUUAAUCCCAAUAAUCAUAACAUACACUUUCUUGACUAGUCUACGAAUCCUCUACUAGAAAUAAUGUCAUCCAAAAAAUGGAUGGCUUACCAACUCUGAACUUGGAAGAUAAUCAACUACUGUGCUGGUCCCCGGGACUUAGCCUUAGAAAAUACAUUAUGAGCCAAUGUAGUCGCUCGAGAAUGGUCAACACUUGGAAGGUAUUGGUAUGUAGAACAAUCCAAAAACAACAUAUAUUUCACAUAAAAUAAGUAAGAGCAGUAUGAAAAUAAUUUAGCAUAAUAGAGAUCAAAACACAUAGGCAUAACAGAAGUCUUACUAUAUCUUGUAAAAACAUAGACUCAACUCUUUUCUUUAGUUUUGAGCUAGAUGGUAUCCCCAAUCUCUCUGUUACUCACGGUCUAUAUGGGUCCAAUAUUAACUCGUCGGCCAAUACCCCAACCUAAGUUUGUUGUAAGGGCUGGAGACUCAGAUUUUUUAUAUGCUAAAAGCACAUAGCAAGCGUAUAAUCCAUAAUUCAAGACACAAUUAACCCGUGUUGGAAAAAUAAAAUUUCCAUCAAUGAUUUAUCUGAACUCGUACCUUCUUUGUUAACCAUCUAACUCUUUUUAAACCCAUUUUCUGCCUCUUAAAAUUGUGCAUCAUUCUUGUAAAAGUUUAUCUUUUCUACUUUAAGGGAAUUCUAUAAAAAAAGAAAAUCAUCAUCAUACCUAGACUUGCAAGUCAUAUAAAUCAUAUCAUGUCAAAUCAUAGCCCUUUUAUUCAAAAUGUAUUAUUGAGCACCAAGAUGAUUCAAAUAUCACAAGAUAGUUCUCCUUCAAGAUGGACAUAUAAGUUAGGAAAAAUAAUUUCCUUCCAAGACAUAACUAUUAUCAUUUGAGAACCCUCAACAAUUCUUAAAUAUAUACUUCUUAUCAUAAAAUGGGAUUCAUAAUUUAAAAACUUCAAUUACAUCAAAAUCCACAACAUAAGCACAUGAAUAAAAUCUAAAGUGUAUAAAAAACCCCAUAGAAUAUACAUAAAUUCAUCAUAACAUGGAUAUUUCAUAGUUCAUGCUUUUCAAUAAAUUUCAAAGUCCAUAACAUAAAAUAUAGGGUUUAUUAAAAUAUCAGACUUAUGCCUGUAAGUGUUAGGAUAGUUCUACAUACCUCUUUAUAAAGCGAACAUAUCAUAAAUUGACCCUUGGAGCUUAAAAAUAUUGAACACUAGGUGGUUUUCUUCUCUCUAUCUUUUAGAAUGAUUACAAUAAGGUUUUGAAGUGAAGAGUCGCUCUUAAGGCCCUACUCACAUACAGAAGGAAUUAGGAAUGACUUAAGGGUGUGCAAAGACCUUAGUACCAUCAAAAUAUAACUUAAAUAGAGUCAUAUUGAUGGAAAAAAAGAAGGUUUCAGUGCGACCCCUAUUGCACGAGGUCAGCAUUACGGCGCGAUCCCCAUCAUGAAGGCUAAGCCACACAAUGUGAUACCCAUUGUGAGCCACUCCCCUUCACAGCAUAGGGCCCUCUUUGUGGGUUAGGUAAUAACCUAUUGGCGACAUCUAAGAGACACCUCCUUUUAGAUGAUGGUACGAUCCUUGUCAAGAUAUAGUAACCUUAACUAUGGUUUGGUUCGAAUCCAAUGGGAACACAUAAACUUGUAAAUCUCAGUGGUUGUAGUCUAUGGGCAAAACAAUAAAAGUAAAUAGGUUGAUUUUCUUGUAGUAAUCUCGAUCAAAGAAUGGUAUUAACUUGGUUAAAAUAAGUCAUAAGUGAACAUUAGGAUUGUGUUCCCCCUGGCUUCUCAACUCCACAGGAUUAUCGUGUGCUGUUAUGUACCUAUUACAAUUUUUUGGAUGAGUAGAAGGAUUCCACCCUUUACCUUUUAAGUCUCAGGGUGUUGCAAUAAUAACCCCUAUCUUGAUCUCAGUUAAGUAUUACCUUUUGGUCUCUAGUUAUUAGAUAAAACCUAACCAUCUUAUGUAGAUAGAACCUGGAAGUUUGGAUCGACAGUUAAACUCCCAAUUACUGUUGUAUUUACCUUUUCCUAGUAACUACUCCAUUUUUGGAGUAAGUAGUGAUAUCUUGGAGGGAUGCUAAAUGUGUUCACCCAUUAAGAAAUCAAUCAUAACAAAGAUAAAGCAAUGCAUGUCAUUGGUAUUAGUUUAAAUAAACAAUCUCACUUCCCCUACUUCAUCAAUUCUCCAUGGUUUCCAUAACCCUAGCUAUGGGUUUUACCCGUUCAUGAUUGUGAAGAAAUGAAUAACAUUAUUAAUAGAAAACAUAGAUGAAUUCACAAUGAUAAGAUGAAUAAAAAUCCACAACCAUAAACUUAAUAAAUCAAUCAAUGUCAAUACAAGGAAAUCGUAAGAUGAAAGAUGGAUAUUGGAAUAAAAAUAUAUUUUUGAGCGUCAAAAGUAUGUAAUUCCUACUAAAAGGUAUAUAAGGAGUAUUCAUAUUACAUGAUAAAACCUUGAAAAUAAUGCACGGACAAAAUAAGAGAAAAUCGAGUCGGCGACCACCUACUCUCUAUACCUGUGGUCUAGCACAGGCACAGUUAGUACCUGCGGUCUGGCACAAGUCAUAGGUGCAGACCACAGGUUAUAGAUGGACAAAAUCCUGCUAGUUAGCUCUUAGUAUUUUGGAUUUCUGGCACCUAUUUUGUCUACAUGCGGUCUGUAGGCUGACUUAGUAUGUGUCGGGAGUUAUUUUUUCAACUCUUCUUGGACUCUUGAACAUGAAUUAAUCACGAUCAAGAUAGAAAACAUCCCAAACAUCCAUAAUCUCUCUAAAAGUAGCCAAAAAUACCUUUUUCACCUCUUUUACAAACAUAGCAUCCAAAACAUGAUUUCCUGCAAAACAUACCCAAAACGGAUCAUAACUAAUAAAAAGGCCUCAGAAACUUGCAUAUUUUCCUUGUUUUAAGCAUUAAAAGUGCUAUAUUUCUAUAGAACAUCAACACCCUCAACUUAUAAUUUUUUGCAUGUCCUCAGGAAACAAAAACACAACAAAACAAAAAUGAUGCUUAACUAGGAGAAUCUAAGUUAUUCAAGGCAGUCAGUCAUCACAUUAAGUUCAAAUCAAAGCAUCCCCUCCUAUAUUUCUUUUCAAAGCCAACUGUGUAUGAACAUGAAGCACAACAAUGUGAAAUAAUGAAAUCAAGCUACGGCAAUUACAUUAGCAGUAGACAACUGCUCAUAUGUAUAAAUUACAUUACCCAAAAUAAGCAAAUAGCUAGCAACAUGACUCAAGUGCUCUCACAUCAAAGAUAUCUCACUCACUCAUAUGAAAUAAUGUAUGUCAAUGCUGGGACGAUCAAGAUACACUCACACUCAACGAAAAAGUUUCAGUCAAUGCAUGUCAAAUACCAUUGGCUUGCCUUUAUUUUCUUUACCUUAGCAUUCAAAUAGUUAAGUUAGGAUCACUAUAGGACAUUUCUCAACUUGUAAUGUAGUUUUGGGGGAUGGUAUGAUAUAUAUGAACAUUUAAUGUGACUAUGCCUCCUUGGCACUAUACUAACUUUGGGGUCUCACUUUCUAACCAAUUUCCUUUUUAUUACAUGCAUAUUUCUCCCUUUUAUUCUUUUAUUGCAUAUUCAAGUUGGGUGUGGACUUUUAUUCUUUAUUUAUCAUUUUUUUCACAAUUUUCUUAUUUUAUUUUUCUUUUUCUCUUUUUUCUAUUACACCUAACCCUACCAACUUUUUCUUACUUUACCCUUCUUCAUACCUAUUUUAUACUACACACCUCUAUGAUAGCCACCCUUAACUUAUGCAUUUUACAUUUAUUUUGAUGCACAGUGUCCAAGAAAGACCAGGGACAAAAUAGGUUCAUUGUACUAUAAAUGGGAAGGUGAAUGGUGAAAAUAAGAAAAGUAGGAUUAUAAGCUAAAAGUGGACUAUAAACAAAAAGGUCCUAUGAUCCUUUCCUAAAUAACUAUCCAUCAACAUAGGCAAGACUAACCAGGAAAGUUCUGAAUUUAACACACAAAGGGAACUAGGUAGUAUCUCACACACACAUAGCACAAAGUCAAUAUUACCAACUACUACCUAUCCAGAUCAUGCAAUUGUCAGCAAAUGGUUAUCAUGUCCCUAAUCCUAAUGCAAUAACAAAAUCCAUAAAGUUCACACAUAAAUACAUCAACGCAGUUCUAGACACUUAAAAUUUUUUAGGGGUAUUAAAAAUUAAUCAAAAUAUGACUACUUCCCUAAAUACUUAAAAAUCUCAACACAAUACAAAAUAAAACACAAUAUGACACAUAAUUAUCUUAGACAUAUUAGUUCUACAAUCAUACUAUGGAUGACAGAAAAAGAAGCACAGUCAUAAAAACCCGUGGCGACAUAGAAUUUCUACCCCAACUAAAAACUGUGCACUGUCCUCAAUGCGCUAAAACAAAGAAAAAUAUAAGAAAGUGAGAACAUACCUAGGAUGCACUGGGCACCCAAAUCAGGAGCAUCCUAAUAUAGGGGCAUAUCAGUUGGCGGUGAACUAUUAGUGGAUGCACUCUCUACUAUAGAUGCAUGCCUUUGUCUAUUGACGAAUGUAGCCACUAAAGAAUCAUGCCUAGCCUUUUUCACGGCCUUUCCCUCUAUCAUAUCAGGAUCCUGCAAAUAAUCUAAGUGACCUCUUUUGGUCCCAAUUGUAGGGACCACCUCAUCAUCCUUCUUAAAAAAAUUUAAAUUAUCUCGGUGCACGCAAAGGUGAUAAAUGAACCACAGAGGUAUAAUUGAGGGAGUAGCUGCUACAUGACUCUCAACAAGAGAGCGUAGCUCUACUCGUGGGAUAUUAAAAUCCUUCCAUAUUUGAACUAGAUCUGGCGCACUUGUCUCUGUAUAUUAGGAUGUAACCCAUCUCUCCAACUCAUCGAUCUGUGUCUGAAAAUUAGCAUAUAGCUCUGACAGUAUGGCUCUCUAAGUAGACUCACAUCUAUCCUCAACCUGCCCAAAUCUAGUCUUAACCCCUGAUCUUAUCUGCCCAAAUGGGGUAGUCAUCUCAGUAUUGAUAAUAUUCAAUCGAGCUUUGUGUCCCUCUAGCUAUCCACUAAGGUCUACAAAAACUCACUAGAUAUAGUAAUCAUACCUGUCAUAGUAGCUAUAGUAGAUGGGCAAGAAGGCUCUGUAGAUGCGCCAACCAGCUCUGAGGUUGAAGUCGGGGCUUAAGAAGAAGUAACCUAUGUCCCCUCACCUUAUGUACUUGAAUCUUGAACCUCUCUCUACUCCCUUAUCUCCAUAUCACUACCAAUACCUAUAUCCUUUUUUUGUGCCUCAUCAGGCUCUACAGAAAGUGUUGGGCCCUCAGACUAGGCUUGUAGUACUACUGCCUAUUGUCUAGAUCUCCUAGAAGUUCCUGGAGGUGACAAACCCUUCAUAGUCCUUAUCUGCACAGUCGCGGUCGCAAGUAUGCUCUGAUUUAUACAUGGUAACUUAGGCAUAUUAGCCUCAUCACAUAGCCUCUUGAUCAUGUAAGGAAAUGGCAAAUUAUUCAGGUCACCAAAGACUCAAUUAUGUAACUUAUGCCAGAAAAUAGAAGCAUAGUAAAUAUCAUAACCAUCCAUCAUACAGGAAAUCAGUGCAGCUCCCUCCCAUGUCAAUGUAUUAUCUGAAGUAGUAGGUAGCAGGCGUUAUCUGAUCAGCAACCAUAAAAACUUGGCCUACAAUAUUAAUAGGCCCUUCUUGAUCACAACUUACUCCUCAAGCCAUAAGGUUUAAUCACCUAGUGGUGAAAUGUAACUGGCUAUCCAUCAAGCCAUCUCAACCCUCUCUCGACGCUACUCAAUAUCUCACAUAAUAUGUCAAUCACGUGUGAUCCUCAAUCUAUGGUAGCACUCAAUUUUAGAUAUAGAAGUGAUAUAAUCUGGGCCAAAUAUGACUUUGUGAAUAGUCUCCUUUCUGAUAUAAACUCUGACUCCUCUGACCAGUGUGUGAUCAAGUUGUGGUUGUCGAGCAAAUCUAAUAAAGCUUGGAUGAUGGUGUAUAGGACCUAUCAUCCACUCUAGCUGAUAUCUAUCAAAUGUCGCCCACAACUAUGGUAAUCGAUCUAGCCUCAAUAAGUCAAUCCGAUGCUCCUUAUAAAUAUAUAUAGUAGGCCUACCUAGCCCUCAAAUGCGACUAUUAAUCUUAAAUAUAUCUCAUAUCCCUUCCACAUACUACCUUAGAUGUCCCUCCUUGGGAGGUGUAUUCUGGGCAUGUACGGGUGCGGGUUUCUUCUUCAGCUAUGCAUCAUGGAAAACCUGUGUUGUACCCUCCUCAGAUUGGGGUACCUCUAUCUUUUGUUCAUGUGUGGUGGUGCCCUCAUUAUAUUGGGUCACCGUUGAUGAAUACUCAUGCUCAACCUUCUUAAAAGAACCCUGGGACCCCUUCUCAGACUAGGGGUCCAGAGUAGCAACCUAUGGAGUGGCCUCAGACUCCAUCUCCAUAUAAUCAUCCUCAUCAUCAUGUAGAGGGGUGAUAUUCGUGAGAAUUAUCCUGGGAUGGGCUGCAACUGAAUUAGCAGCCUGGCGAGUCUGUUCUUUCAUAACUAUGUGUGUCACACCAGCGGCAGAGUCUCUAUGUUGCUGCCUUGGAUAAUCCUCCAUUGAACCAAUAGGAUUAGGAGACUCUGCCCAUCUCCUCAAAGUAGCUUCUUUAUUAUCUUCACCACUUUAUGUGUCAUAUGUACGUAAAAACCAAUUUUCAUUUUCCAACAAAUGUGAGGGAUAGCAAAAGUCAAAGAAAUACUCAAAAAUCAAGAAGUUUAAAUUUUCCUCAAUUUUUGCACCCCAUAACCUAUUUGAAAUCCCAACAAGUCCAAUGUAUACACACCAUAUUAUGAAUCUCAAAUAAAACAAACAUGCUCAACUAAUGGUAUUACUUUCAUUUAUUCAAUCUCAACUUUCGGUUAGGGCCAAUUUUUAGAUUGUACUUCAAAACAAGGCCCUACACUAAAAUUUUAGGCUAUUUCAAGGCUUGAACUCAAAAUCAUGAUAGUUUCUAUAUAUUUAGCGAUGAAAUACAAAUAUCAACUUGUUUAAACAGGAGAUAGAUCAAUACCUAAACUUUAGGAGCCGAGAAAGUUACCUUUUUAUAUGAAGAAUCAAAAGUGAACAAUGAAGAAGUCUUUCACACCAAAUUUGGAAUGAGUUUUUAACGUGUUGAAACAAGUUGGUAUCUUAAAUAUGUGACAAUUUAACCUUUACUUAAGUGUGGGGUUAGUUGGUGUUUUAAGUGGGAAGUUUGAAUUCAAAGAGAAAAGUGAAGUUUUAAGGAAUUGAAUGAGUUAGAACGAGGGUAAGAAUGUUUUUAUAUAGGUUGAGGGUUAUUUUAGGUCAUAUUUAAGUGUUGGUGAGCCCAAAUUAUUAAUUAAAAAGUGGGCCCAAAAAGUGACCUAGCCGCAGCCUAUAACCGCGGUCAGGCCUUGGGCGCAGGUACUGCCUGCGGCCCAUAGGUUUUGGGCGCAGGUGUUGGGGCAAAAUCUUUGGCCCAUUUUUUUGAAAUGCAAACUUGGCAUUUUGACAUUUUUUUAGAUACUUAGGGUCCCGCAACCGAAGUUUUAGGUCCCAAAAAUAAAUUUAGAUGUCAAAGUCCAUAACUUACCAUUUUUCAUCCUCAAAAUUUCAGUUGUUCAACUUAUUACUCAACUUACCGCAUGGAACUUGUGACCAUAAUGGGUUGAUCAUACAGCCUCCUUACCUGGAAGUUGAUGAAUGUAGAAAUUUUUAUCAAAUUCUGGGUUGCCUCGCAUACCGUGCUUGAGUUAACAUUGUGGUACGACACGGGUAUCUUGACUACUCAGCAUUUAUCAUGAUACCCAUAGGAGUAUCCUCCGAUUUCAUUAAUAAAAUCAAUCACCAAUACCACUCUGAUGUUGGUUGGUUGCUUCAUUGACUUUUCGAUGUUGAAUGUCACCUCCUUACCAUUAACUCUUGAAUUUCAGCUCAAUUUUUUCCAUGUCAACCAUAGCACUACCUGUGGCCAUAAAUGGUCUUCCCAAGAUAACGGGAUCUCUUAUUCUCUCUCUCCUUCUCCUUAAGCUUCUUCUUCUUAAUUUGUUGAGCAUGGAUCUUAAGCCUAGAUAUGUCCAUAUCCUUAAUUAAAAUUUCAGUCCUACACUCCUUGACCACACUAUAGAUACCCUAGACACAAACUUGCUCAUCCUAUAUCUGUUAUCAGCCACCACAUAAGGAGCAUACCUGCCUAACUGAGUAAACUUGAGAAAAUACUCUUUCAGAAUCAUAUGCCCCUGCAUCAAGUUAAUAAAAUCUAACACCUUAGCUUCCCUCAGCUCCAACGAGAAUAAUCUAUCUAAGAAGGUUGUCGAAAACUCCUCCCAUUCUAUAGGCUCUGCAUGUGUACUUCUAUCCCCUUUCCACUACUAAAACUAGAUAUGAGCUAUAUCCAGCAAUUGGUAAGCAGCUAAUUCAGCACUCUCACUAGAAGUCACCCCCAUAAUAUCUAUUACUUUCUGCACCAUGUUAAGGAAUUCCUCAGAUCCUCUUAAAAUUUGGAUCUCAAAAACAAGGGAGGAUUCAUUCGGGUGAAGUCCCAAAUCUUAGCUGCGAUAUUACUGGCCACUGGUUUGGCCUGAAUAAUAGUUAGACGAAUAUUUUAAGCUGCUACAGAGUGAGCUAAAGUAGUGAAGGUAAAUCUGAACUCUGUAUGGGAAACAUUCCCAUUUAGGGGAUCUUCCUAAAUGGGCGGAGGUGCUGGCUGGUUUACAUUCCUUCUUUAGUUAGCCUUUCUGGGAGGCAUAUUCUAUAAACGGAAGGAAAAGUUGAAUUAGACAGAGAGUUUAGCUUGAGAUUAUGUUCACUCGGAUAAUAUGAACAUUGUAAGAAGAGAAACUUUUCCUAAAAAUAUCUUGUAACCUCUUGUCCAUAAGGGUGGUGCUCUUCACACCCAUAUACAAGACUCAACUCAACACGUCUUUCAGACUCCCUAGGAUACUUUAAAACCUUAGGCUCUGAUACCAAGUUUGUAACACCCAGGGAGUACACCCUGGAUGCCAUACGGUGCCAACGAUCCCCAGAUACUACAAGCUAACCCAUGAGUUGGUACCAAUUGUGAGAACUGAAUAAAACUGAUAAACAACAUAUGUAGAAUUUCAACUAAAACGCCAUAAGAUUUUAACAACUAAAAUCAAUAAUAAAUUAUGGCUUAAAACAUAUGGAACCAUACUGGAAAUACUAAUAAAAUAACUGAUAAUUGCAACUGAAAACUGACCAACUGCCUGUACUAGUCUGAAAGCCUCUAAACUGUCUGACUAUGGAUUUGAUGGGACAAGCCCCCAACUAACUCUGACAAACUAAAUAACUAAACUACUGACAUAACUGAAUAUAAGAUUGCUCGGCCUCAAAGGAUGAUAUUCACUAAGGCUGCUGUUGCUGAUGCACUGGAAAGUCUAAGUACUAUCAGGAAUUCGAGUGUCCAAACCUAUGAUAUAAGACAUAAUAGUGUAAGAAAACAAGUAUACGAUCAGUACUUUGAAUGUACUGGUAUGCUAAAUGAGAUUCGGCUGAUAUACAUGGGUUUAUGUGCAUGAGUAAUAACUGGAUGAAUGUAUAGAAUGAGGUACUGAGUAAGAAUACAUGAAAACUAUAAAGACUGAGAAUGCAUGACCAAGCAUAAAAUAAGUUCUGAAAUUGUCUAUAAAUUGAAUUACUGAAAUCUAAUAACUGAAUAACUGAUAAACUAUAUGCAAUGGUCAAGUAAGACUGAACUAAAUUCUGAACUGAGUACUAAAACUAAAACUAUGGGAGGUGUCAUCUAACUGACAUACCCCAGUCUGAGUUGAUCGGGGUCGGAUCCAACCUGUGAUCCCAUUUGGAAGGGUGUUAGUACCAUGCUAAGGUUACUAACAAUAGUUAUGAAGUCAGUCCUGAUCUAGCGGGUGACCCCUGAGAUCAGUCCUCAACUGGCGGGUGAUCCCUAAGAGUGUCAGUCCUAAACUGGCGAGUGAUAUCUCAUAACCUAAAAUGACUACGUAGUUUGGGAACUUAGGAAUUUCUCCUAAUGACCCAGUCCAAACUAGUGGGAUAUCUCCCAUCCCUAGGUUUUCUCGGUACUGAAUCCUACUCUUAAUUGAAUGACAUUGAUUACUAGACUGAACAAAAUUAACUGGAUAAAUAACUGAUCAUGACGGCAAACUAAGUGCUAAUGCUCAUGAUUUAUUUGAAACUGUUCUGAAGCUACUGAAACUAAGUAAAUAGCGAAACUUUGGGUAUUCAUAACCCCCAGGACUCGAUACCAAUAACAAUAGGACCACAUGAAAGCUUUGAAACCAUGGAAGAAAAUCAUUGUUCAUAAUUAUUCACUUAAGCAUUUCAUUAAACCCAUAGGGACUAAGACAUUAACAUGGAGAUGCUUUUUAAACAUGAAAAGAUAGCACAAUCACAUGACCAAAUCAUAAACUGGGGGUUUUAUUCUAUAUUUGUAUGAACAUGAUAUGAAAGUCACAAUAUUUAAUACAUACUAUAAAGCAUUCCAUGUGAAAUCAAUUGAAAAUAUAACUUGAAAAUUGAAUUACCAAUAUAUAGAUAAACAUACUUUAACUUUCUGUGUAAGGACUCUUUCUAUUAAAAACUCUUGGAAACAUAAUAAGGGGUCAUUAUUUAAACCCCAAUCAUUUAGAUACUUCAUCAAACACUUAAAAUUCAUAGGCUUGGGCAGGAGAAUAGUCAACACAUGAGAUGCUAACAGAAUUGAAAUACUACAAAUCAUGGAUUUUAGGAGUUAACAUGUGAAUUCCACCAUUCAAACAUGUAAGGUUUAAUUUCAACAACAAUUUCUUGUAAACAUCAUAAAAAAUUUGAAAUUCAUGGGAGUUCAUGGAUAAAGUUCAUAAUAACAUGUCAAGAUCAUUCUUUUAAACAUAAAAUUGGAUUUUUGGACUCCAUGGGUGGAAAGGACCUAUGGAUGAACAUCUAACAUACCUCAAAAGCUUAAAUCUUGAAGGAGAAUAACUUUUCUUUUAAGGUUCUUGAAUGGUGAUGCUUGGAUUUUCGCUCUUGGAAAUGGAGGAGGGUUUUUUAACAUGAGUUGAUUUGAGGAAUGGGAAAAUAAUGCCCUUCUGGGUGUUAUAAUUUGUGCUUUGGACAUUUAGGGACGAAGGGAAAGGACCAAAAUAACCCUUGACCCUUAAGAAGCUAAAACUAUGGGGGAAUAGCCCCCACGGCGCAAACCCUAGUUGGUUUAAGAAGCCCUCAUGACGCAACCCCCAGUAUGGUUGAAUAGCCAUCACGGAGAAUGGCUAUUGCAACCCCUUAUUGCCUUUCACGGAAAAUGCCAUAACUUUUCACUCGAGUAUCGGAUUAAGGAGAAAUUGGUAUCGUUGGAAAGCUGACUCAAUUAUCUACAAUUUAGUGGGUUUGGAUAUGCAAAUUUCUACAUAUAUCAAAAGUUAUAUAUCUUCAAAGUAUACACUUGUAGAAUCGAAUACUAAACUUUGGACGAAUGAAAGGAUCUUAGCUCAACUUUGUUCUAAGUGAUUCCUAUGAACGUUUUUCACCUCUAAAGCACAUAAAACAUGAGGUUAAAGAUCAUGAAACUUAUAUUAACAUAGGAAUCAUUUGUAUUAUGGCUUAUACAUGUAGGGACGAUGGUUCAAAGACUAUCCCAAUGUUGGGUGUUACAUCUCCCAACUCUGAAACUUUAACUUGUCAAACAACUCCCUUAUUUCUAGUGAAUCAUCCAUUACAGGGUUGAAGAUUUUUCCUUUUAGAACCUCCUGAUUCUUAAAAGUAUCUUUCUUGCCACUCUAGACAUUCUAGAGUUGGAACCUAGUCUCUUGACAUCAACCUGUUUUGAUCUAUUUCCCUUUUCUUUUUUUACAGAUAUAUCUUUUAUUCUUCUCUAGUUCUCCCUUAAACUAGUAAUGUACUUCUCAUAAUCAGAUACAAAUAACCUAUACUAAUGAUCACUGAAUCCUUCAAACAUAUGCUUAAUCUCACUAUCAUCGCUAUAAUUGAACAUGCUCUUAGCAUCAUCUUUUGAUUCAUCAAGAACGGGUAGAAGUCCCACAGUUUCAUCAUUAGAACUUUCAAGUGAGUCAUUUUGCCUCCUAAGGAAUAGGGUUGGUAAGAGAGGUUCUGGAAAGAAAGGUUUGGUCCUUGAGACAAGGUGGUUUGAAGCUCUAACCUUUUUACGCAUGGCUAAGAUAGAAGCUUUUUUUGGAGAAGGGGUAUCAGAAAAUGACAAGAGGAACAAGAUCUUUGAAUAGUUAGGGAAUUGAUGAGAUUCGAUGAGAGAGAUAUUUUUAAGGAGCUAAAAAAAAAAUUGACUGUGGGCUUUAUAUAAGGCAUAAAAGAAUAGUUGACAUUAAACGAUACGAUGCAUCUUAGGGCACAUAUCUAUAUAAAUUGACGCAACUGUUAAGUUAAAAAAAGUGAUAGCCUUUUGGAAGUAGCAGGAAAGUGACAUGGCACAGUUAUCAAAUACUUUUUUAGAAAAUGUUAUAGUUAUUUGGAAGUAGCGGGAAAGUGAUAGCCUUUGUUUUUUCCUUUACACUACUUGGUAAUUUCAUCUAGUCAUUUGUUCAAAAGAUCAUUCUCAUAAGAAAGUGUCUUGUAAGCAGCUUGAUGCUCAGCCACUUGCACACUUAGCUCUAUCAUUUCUUCAUCAUAUUUUGCCAAACCAUUCUUCUGUUUUUCUUCUCAUUAGUGUGCUCAGCCACUUGCAUACUCAGUUUCACCACUUUUUUCUCACAUUUUUUAGGGAUUUCCUCAUAUUUUCUUCAUCCUUAGCAAGAUCUACCAAUGAAUCAAGCAACAGAGAUGCAAGAGAUCUCAGUUUACUGAGAGAGUAAUCCUUCAGAUUUUCAUUGAUGCCAAGAAGAGUCAUCGGGAUGUCAUUAUCAUUCUCAGUAUCAGCCAUUAGAGAAAAAAGAGUGUCAGGAAUUUUUACCUCAUCUUUCAUUACCAAUAUAGAAGAGUCAUCUGAGUCACUUGAAGAGUCACGCCAACAUGCAACUAACACUUGGACAAACCACAUGUGGCUUUCAUUUAAAUAAAUUGUGUAAUUACGAUCCCUAAAAUAACAAAACUAAUGGAAUUAGCAAAAACUUAACAUAAUACUCAUUUUUAAAAAAUAAGCAGAAAUAUAGAGAAAAUGAGAGGGACAAGAUAACAUAUAUUUCCAUUUCCUCCACCAAGCUUGCUAGCUGCAAAAGUUUAAUCAUCUCCUUGUGUUUUUGAUUUUAUUGAAGAUCAAAACCCUCUAUAUCAAAAAAUAUAAGAAUCAAAAGCGGAAUUAAGUCAUAAUGUUAUGACUAGUAUUACUUUUUUUCAAUUAGAAUAAGCACAACACUCCAAUACUGAAACACCAAUAUUGAAAAUGGGGGUAGAACCUUCUCUCUAAUUACUACAGAGAGAGAGACAUAGUACCUUUCAGACAUACUAUUCCCUCACUAAAUGCUACUACUGCGGAUAAGUAAAACACAUUAAUGUCAACCAAAUCUCAAUAAGAUGGAUGAAAAAAUGAACGAGAAAGAAUUGGAUUUAUUGCACCGGAGUAUGGACAAACCUAAAGAAGCUUCUAACGUUCAGGAGCCUUUACCAAAAGUAAGUUUUUGAGAUAAAUUAAUUUCCAAUAAUAAUAUCCCUUCUAUUGAUUCUAUUCAAAAUGUUUUUAACUAUUUUAACCUUGCUGACGAGAAAGAUAACACCUCCAACCACCCUUUUUUCAUCCCCAUUUUAUCAUCCGACAAAGAAAGACUUUAUGCGCCUUGGGAACAAGCUGUUAUCAUCAAACCGCUUGAAAACAAAAUUGGCUAUAACUACCUAAGUACCUAUCUAAAAACCCUUUGGAACCUUAAUAAAGACUUGAACAUUAUAGACCUAGAAGAAGACUACUACCUUAUCAAACUCUCCCAUCAAUCAAACUUCCAAAAGGUACUCCACUAAGGACCUUGGUUUAUAGGAUCCUAAUAAAUUUUAAUACGCAAAUGGGAAGCAAAAUUCAACCCUGAAACCGAUACUAUUCCUUAUGCUACCAUUUGGAAUAGACUUCCCGAGCUCCACACAGAAUACUACGACUUAGAAAUUCUCCAAAAAAUUGGUAGGAUAAUAGGUACAAUCCUAAAAAUUGACAAUUGUACCAAAUACGCAUCCAGAGGGAGAUAUGCUAGACUUUGUAUCCUAACUCAAUUAAAUAAACCCUUACCCAGAAAUAUUCUUAUUGGAUCCCAUCUACAAGAAAUUCACUUUGAAAACUCCACCUUUUUUGCCAAAAUUGUGGUUGCCUAGGCCAUAACUUUCUUCACUGUCCAACAAUUAACAAUCCAAACAAAACUACCGAUGAAUCGGAGACCUCAAGCCAUCAAAUAAUCCAACGAAGAAAGGGGUUAGUAGGGAAAAGAAUGAAAAAACAAAAAAUGAAAAUGAAAAAAACAAAAAAACUGAAGAAGAAAAAAAAUAGGAAAACAAAAAACAGAAGAAAA
rnacentral:lncRNA from 1 species